CUAAAAGAGACCAGUCAUGUCUCCAAGUUCUCCUGGAGUAGUUUCUACUAAUUAAUAUGUUGGUGAGACAGGCCGGGAUAGAAACCAGCCAAUGCAGGCCAUGAGCACCACAGCAGCGUGGACUCCGAAGGGUCUCUCCUGGAGAAAUGGCUCUCUGUGAGGCUCUUGCUAUGGGAAGGAGCAGCCUGGAAGAGAGUUGAAGCUUUUAAAUUUGGUCAAUAUUUUUAAACUUGUAGAUUCCCCAAUGGCUGUUUUAGACAUGUUCUUACUGCAGAUUGAGAAAUAAAAUCUCCCUUUGUGUAAA